CUACGGGGUGCUCCAGGCGAGAAAACUUUGCAAUGUGCGAAAGCACGACAAGGUUAAUCCGAGUGGUUUCUGCUAAAGGAACCUUUUGACAGUCCUAGAAACACUGUUGAAUAAGGGGUGGGCAAGUUCUGGUGUCAGCCGCCGCGGUAAAACCAGCACCUCAAGUGGUCAGGAUGAUUAUUGGGCCUAAAGCAUCCGUAGCCGGCUCUGUAAGUUUUCGGUUAAAUCUGUACGCUCAACGUACAGGCUGCCGGGAAUACUGCAGAGCUAGGGAGUGGGAGAGGUAGACGGUACUCUGUAGGAAGGGGUAAAAUCCUUUGAUCUAUUGAUGACCACCUGUGGCGAAGGCGGUCUACCAGAACACGUCCGACGGUGAGGGAUGAAAGCUGGGGGAGCAAACCGGAUUAGAUACCCUCGUAGUC
rnacentral:rRNA from 1 species